AUGGGUGCGCCUCGAUGGUGGGACAGGCGGCCCCAGAGGGACAGAGAAUUCCCCAGGCAUUCCCGUGAAUGCAGCCGUCCUCCACCAAGGAAGCUCCGGGCCAGAGCCCAGAGGAAGGGGUCUCUGUGUUUCGCCCUGUCCCUCUGUGUUGGUGUGGGGAGAGCAGGCAGCUGCCAUGCAGCCAUGCCGUGCCCCUGCCCACCCUGGGGCACCCUGCUUGGUGCAGCAAUGCUCCCCUUUAAUUGUUCACCGUGCUCCCACGAGGGAGGAGACGGGACCUGGGCACCUUCCCUGCCACCCGUAGAGUGGCUGCGGUCGCCCAGGGGCUUGGGCACGGCGUGUGGUGGGGUCUGCACCGAGGGCGCUGCCACCCCCUGCUCUGGGAAAUGCGGUGUGCUGGUUGGGGCGCAGGGCUGCUGCCUCCGAGCCCUCUGCCAGGAUCCUGCCCGGGAUGUGCCUUGGCACAGGGCUGACUGCCAGAGCCUCAGGAGCCCCCUGAACCAUCGGGGCUGUCCUCAGCCUCUGUCGAGGAAGCUCCUGGCAGAGCGGGGGCAAGGACGGCAGCAUCCCGAAUGUGGUGCGUGGGCGGUGGGAGCCAAAGUAUUUCUAUCUCCCGGAAAACGAUGCCGACUGCGUGGGCUGGAGCCAGCGCAGCUGCUGGCCCUGCCGCCCAGCCCGACAGCAGCACGCUCAGCCCCUCUCCAGCUGCUGCUGCUGGCUGCAGGCAGAUCCAGCCGGAGCGGGCGCUCCGCAGAGUCCCGCGGGGGUCAAGGUAUCGCCUCCAGGCAGCCCUGCAGGCACCUCGCCCUGCUCCCCACGGCUCCCUCCGCGGUUUCUUCCUUGUCCCCUGCCACAAGCGCAUUUCUGGGCUUCCGCCUGCUCCUGUCCUCCACGGUGGUGGCUGCUGUGCUGCAGCUUGUCUGCUGGCAUCUGCACGUUCGCAGCCCUCCAGCUCCAUCUCGCUCACCACCAGUACCCGGGAAAUCCUGCGCUCCGCAGACUUUACGAGCCAAAGGGAACGAUAAGAGCAAUUAUAGGAUCAGCCAACUGAACAGAGUGAUAAACCUCAAAGGCAGGCGCUGCUGGCAGCUCCAGCACAGGUGCAGCAGCGUGGAUAGCGGUGGGGCCCUGGAGCUGCUGGGUGGGCAGCACCGGACCUGCAGCAGCGCCCUGCCCCUGCCCGGCCCCGCUGUGCCCAGCCCCAGGAGGGCCAGCUUUGGGUCUGCCGGGCUUUGUCCCUGUGCAGCGCAGGGCAGGGACGCGCUGCUCCCUCUGCUCGGUGUCGGGGGCAAUGCUCACAUCCCUGAGCUACCCCCUCCCUGUCCUGCCCCGGCCUCCGGAGCACUGUGCCCCUGGUGCAGGAGCCAGCGGCUGCAACAAGGCCGCCUCUAUCCGGGGAGCUCUUUGUUUCCCCCCUGCAGUCUGCCCGGGGCCGGGAGCACCGGCUCAGAGCCGUUCCCCGCAGAGCAUCCUCCGGCCACACUGCCCAGCUGCAGCCACCCGCCCUGCCCAAACCCCGGCACCGAACCCCCCUUCAGUGGCCAGAGCCCUGCUCAGAAGCCACCCUCAGAGCUCAGACCACCCCGGGGGCCUGGGCCCUGCCUGCCCGCUCCCCAGCUCAUGGCACUGCACGGUGAGAGCCUGGAGGGUGCAGGCUGGUGGACACAGGCUGAUGGCCAUGCCCCUGUCCCUGCUGUGCCCCAGGGCUGCCCCCGCUGCAAGGCAGCGAGCGUCCCGCAGGCAGCGUGGCACUGGUGUCAGCACCGGCUCCUGUUACUGCAUAAACACCCACGCUGGGGAGGGGACCGCAGGCAAACGCAAACAGUUACUGAUUUACUGUAG
rnacentral:lncRNA from 1 species